CACGUAGGCGGACCAGCAAGUUAGGGGUGAAAUCCCGGGGCUCAACCCCGGAACUGCCUUUAAAACUGCAUGACUAGAGUACGGUAGAGGGUAGUGGAAUUUCCUGUGUAGCGGUGAAAUGCGUAGAUAUAGGAAGGAACACCAGUGGCGAAGGCGACUACCUGGACUGAUACUGACACUGAGGUGCGAAAGCGUGGGGAGCAAACA
rnacentral:rRNA from 1 species